ACAUUUAUUAAACCUAGAAUUGCAAAGUAAUAACAUAUAGAAAAUACUGGCUUUGAAUUUCAUUUGAAUUCAGCCUUCAGAAGUAGAUAUCCAUGGUGUGAUUUGGUGAUGCAUGGUCAAUAUUGUUCAUUUGGGAACUGUUUACCAGCAAGGGGCUACUUCCAUGGGGAUGGGAUACAGACCGGAUCACAGAUGCAAGGUCCUAGCAAUAUACAGGCAAAAAUAAGGGUUUCGUUAACAACCUAUCACUCUGAAAAGUACACUAAAAGCAGAAUUUCAUACAAUGUGACAAUAAAACUCAAAUUGCCAGGUUUCAGUCUGGAUUAGAAUCCAGAAUUGUAGGUAUCUUUAACCAGCUUCCCCCAACUUUACAAUUCAUCAGCUGGGAAUUUGGGUUGUGGAGAGGUAUAUUUUUUUGUAGUACUGAAUACACACAGUGUAUAUAUAUACCUAUAUAUGUAGGUAUAUACAGCUGGUUUUACCUCUUAAUAAUUUUGUAAUUCUGGGGUCAAUUUUUCACCUAUGUAUAUCCCUGUACCGCAGUCUCACUGCACCAAACCCAUGGCUGUUCGCUACUUUGAGACAUACAAAUGAGCUACUGUAUUUUAUAAGCUGAAAGACUAGCAUGCUUUUUUUUUUUUCUCAUAUUGAGGGUUACAGAUGUUCCUUGGCAUACCUUUUACAGUUGUUGAAGUAUAUCAUAACAUUUUAGACUGCAUAAAUCUCAAACCCUUUGAGUCCGGGGACUAAUCAAAUAAGCCUGGUAAAUUUUCCCAGUGAAACUGCGAUGUGGUAUUUUGUUGGCAUUCCUCAAGCCACAUAUCUAAUCAGAACAAUACUUUUUUACAAAAAAUCUUACUCUACACCAGUCCAUUUAAAUAUUUCUAUUAAAUAAAGUGAAGUAUAUAAAGUUAACAAAAUAAGGAUUUUACUUGAUUGGCUUUUAUUGCAACUCGUUGUUCUUAGACAAGCUCAACAUGGUAGUUAAACAAAUGCAUCGAAAGGACUAAUGAUUUCUAACCAUAUGAAAUGUUGAAAUUUAUUUGAUAAUUCAUCUCUUGGUAAUCAUAGGAAUUGUCAAAUACUGCUUAAUAUGAGAACACAUAAUAUAUGUUAUUCUACAAAGCUAGUAGGUAACUGAUGCAAUUCUAAGUAAUGUAAGAUGGUGUGGGGUUUUUAUUAGUCGCUUACUGCAGUUAACUCGCUGGUACUUACUAUGCCCAUUACUAUCCAUUAGUAUCAUUAUGGGACAAGUCUUAAAGGAGUUAAGUACAUUAAGUACUAACAACUGCAGUAAUGUAUUACUUUGAUAAACCUUUAAAGUUGUUUGCUAAAAUGGGAAAAUGUUGGGGUAUAACUGCACUAUGAUUAAACUGAAUUCAAAUGAUUUAUAUCUGAAAGGUGACCGGCAAGAGUCAGUAUCUACUGGGCGGUAUGAUCUAACCAAAGUUUUACACACCUCAGUCAAUGCUGCUUGCUGUUUGCGUAACACUGUUGUAUGCAGAUGCAUAUGUCCACUUCGCAAUAAUCUGUUGCUUUUGCCUUUCACACUUUAGAAAGAUCUGAAUGAGUAUUGAUAACCGCAGCUGCUUUUAAACAAGACACACUGCAUUGUCUGACACAGGACAGCAAGCAAGCAAGCUAUAAAGCCCUGAAGUCUAUUGCAUUAGCUAUUCGUCCAUCAGAUGUGUUGAAAAUUAGGUUUAAACUCAGUAAUGUCAUUUAGAAAUACGGUAGCGUGGCUGCACUGCAGACCGCAUCAUAGUAUAGAAAACCCUAAGCUACCUUUCAAUAAGCUUGCUUGGGGACUGUAAUCAGUGUAAUCAAAACAACCUGAAGUUUGCUACAAAGGAUAAUUUCUCCUGCUUCUCAGGUUAAAAGAAAAAAAAAAGG